rnacentral:rRNA from 1 species
CCUACGGGUGGCAGCAGUGAGGAAUAUUGGUCAAUGGCCGGGAGGCUGAACCAGCCAAGUCGCGUGAGGGAAGACGGCCCUACGGGUUGUAAACCUCUUUUGUCAGGGAGCAAGGUGCAGGUCGGGACCUGCUGUGAGAGUACCUGAAGAAAAAGCAUCGGCUAACUCCGUGCCAGCAGCCGCGGUAAUACGGAGGAUGCGAGCGUUAUCCGGCUUUAUUGGGUUUAAAGGGUGCGCAGGCGGAGGCACAAGUCAGCGGUAAAAGCGCGGGGCGCAACCCCGCUCCGCCGUUGAAACUGUGUCCCUUGAGUGCGCGAAGGGUAGGCGGAAUGCGUGGUGUAGCGGUGAAAUGCUUAGAGAUCAUACAGAACACCGAUUGCGAAGGCAGCUUACCAAUCUAUAUCUGACGUUGAGGCACGAAAGCGUGGGGAGCAAACAGGAUUAGAUACCCGUGUAGUC